UGGAGGCGCACUCCAGCAGACGCCGCUCCCGCGCUCCUCCCUCUCUUCUGCACCCGCUGUCACGCUGCCCGCCGGCGGGGGAGCAUCGCGAGCCUCCAGGAUCACUCUGGCUUCUGGGUUGGACAUUGAGUGCAGAGGCCAGAAGACCAGCUGAGAGGCUGCUGCAGUGGCCCAGGUGAAGAGACUGAGGUCCUAAAUUUGUACUGAUCUCACUGCAUGCUGUGUCUCGGAGACAGUUGGAGCCCUGAUCCAGAGCCCUUGGGUAUUGCCUCAAAAGAUUGCACUACUUAUCGGUGGAAGACUCCUCUUCAUUUUCU